GAUGAACGCUGACAGAAUGCUUAACACAUGCAAGUCAACUUGAAGCAGUUUCGGCUGUGGAUGGUGGCGGACGGGUGAGUAACGCGUAAAUAACUUGCCCUUUAGACUGGGACAACUGUUGGAAACGACAGCUAAUACCGGAUAUUAUGAAACCUUGGCAUCAAGGGAUUAUGAAAGCUAUAUGCGCUAGAGGAGAGAUUUGCGUCCUAUUAGCUAGUUGGUGAGGUAAUGGCUCACCAAGGCGACGAUAGGUAGCCGGCCUGAGAGGGUGAACGGCCACAAAGGAACUGAGACACGGCCCUUACUCCUACGGGAGGCAGCAGUGGGGAAUAUUGGACAAUGGACCAAGAGUCUGAUCCAGCAAUUCUGUGUGUUUGAUGAAGGCCUUCGGGUUGUAAAGAACUUUAAGUAGGGAAGAAGAAAGUGACGGUACCUACAGAAUAAGCGACGGCUAAAUACGUGCCAGCCGCCGCCGUAA
rnacentral:rRNA from 1 species